AUUGAACGCUGGCGGCAUGCCUUACACAUGCAAGUCGAACGGCAGCACGGGAGCAAUCCUGGUGGCGAGUGGCGAACGGGUGAGUAAUAUAUCGGAACGUGCCCAGUCGUGGGGGAUAACGCAGCGAAAGCUGUGCUAAUACCGCAUACGAUCUACGGAUGAAAGCGGGGGAUCGCAAGACCUCGCGCGAUUGGAGCGGCCGAUAUCAGAUUAGCUAGUUGGUGAGGUAAAGGCUCACCAAGGCGACGAUCAGUAGCUGGUCUGAGAGGACGACCCGCCACACUGGAACUGAGACACGGUCCAGACUCCUACGGGAGGCAGCAGUGGGGAAUUUUGGACAAUGGGCGCAAGCCUGAUCCAGCAAUGCCGCGUGCAGGAUGAAGGCCUUCGGGUUGUAAACUGCUUUUGUACGGAGCGAAACGGUCUUUCCUAAUACGAGAGGCUAAUGACGGUACCGUAAGAAUAAGCACCGGCUAACUACGUGCCAGCCGCCGCAGUAA
rnacentral:rRNA from 1 species